GCGGGCGUGGUGGAAUUGGUAGACACAAGGGACUUAAAAUCCCUCGGCUCUCAAGCUGUGCGGGUUCGAGUCCCGCCGCCCGCACCA
rnacentral:tRNA from 1 species